AUCCACUCCAUUAAAUAUGAUCUAGAGUUUUUAAAACUUUUAAAAAAUAAAUUUCGUAACUUUUUGAAAUUAUAAUAAAGUUCAUCAAGCGUGUAUAAAGUGAACGGUCAAAAUCGAACAACAUCCUAAAAAGGAUGAUCGGAUCGUUCAAUUUAAGAUCAGAGUUAUUGAUCUUUAUCUAAAUAAAAACAGAAUUUUUUAUAAAAAAAUCAACCAAUUUCGAUUUUUUUACACCAUUAAACUAAUUACUAUCUCAUCCCAACGGUUAAAAAUUAUUAAUUUUGAGAUCUUUUGAUCAAAAGAUAAAUAAUGUCAAAAAAAAUUAUAAAAUUUGAUUUCUAAAAAUUUUAAAUACUCUAGAUAAUAUUUAACGUCAAUUCGGAAGCUCUAUCAUCGAAAACAACUUAUAAAUGCGAAGGUGAUCGUACUCAUAAAAAUAUAGUAAUCAAACUUUCUAUCACUCUCUCUCUAUAUAUAUAAGCUAGCUCUAUCGAGUCAAACACGAAUUAGUUGAUUUCAGAUCGUGUUCAACUCAAUCCUUAAGACAGUGUUUGGAUUGAGGAUAAGGGGAGGGAUAACCCCUUAUCCCCCUUUAUACUUAGACGCAAAUUUUUUAUCCGAGAAUAAUAGUUCUCGGAUACCUGAAAUAAACUGGUAUUACUAUCCCCACCAACAUCUUCAUUUUUUAUAUAUAACUACCUACUAUUUUUUUUAUUCCAUAUUAUCUAUCCAAACGUUAUUUUUCUUAUCCUCGGAAACAAUUCAAUUUUCAUCCAAACGCUAUUUUGCUUAUCCUCAUACUUGUACCUAUCCCUGUAAUAGUUAAUUCUUACUUAUUUCCAAAACAAACGGUACGAUCAAUUUCGAGCUCCUUACAAACGAGGGAUUUUACAUUGUCACACUUGCACUAUAUCAUCGAUAACAAGUCAAUCACAUUUCUUCUUUUCAAACAAAAGUAUAAUACAAAUAUUUUUUUAUAAUCAUGAUGAAACAUAUAUCUUUAAAAAAAAUAUUUAAUUAAUUUAUUAUGCCACGUCAUUAAUAUAUCCGGUGUAUUCUAGAAUUUUUCCUAACCAACUAAUUGCCUA
rnacentral:lncRNA from 1 species